rnacentral:tRNA from 1 species
GAGGGUAUAGCUCAAUUGGUAGAGCAUAUGCUUAGCAUGCAUGAGGUCCUGGGUUUAAUCGCCAGUACUGCCA